rnacentral:rRNA from 1 species
GGGGAAUAUUGGACAAUGGGCGCAAGCCUGAUCCAGCCAUGCCGCGUGAGUGAUGAAGGCCUUAGGGUUGUAAAGCUCUUUCGCCGGUGAAGAUAAUGACGGUAACCGGAGAAGAAGCCCCGGCUAACUUCGUGCCAGCAGCCGCGGUAAUACGAAGGGGGCUAGCGUUGCUCGGAAUUACUGGGCGUGAAGCGCACGUAGGCGGUUUCUUAAGUCGGGGGUGAAAUCCUGGAGCUCAACUCCAGAACUGCCUUCGAUACUGGGAAACUUGAGUUCGGGAGAGGUGAGUGGAACUGCGAGUGUAGAGGUGAAAUUCGUAGAUAUUCGCAAGAACACCAGUGGCGAAGGCGGCUCACUGGCCCGAUACUGACGCUGAGGUGCGAAAGCGUGGGGAGCAAACA